CCGAUUGUUUUCAGCUGCUCCAUUUGAGCAUAGAAUGGAAUUGCUGAGAUCUGAGGAGAGCGAGUAAGAGAUAGAGAUAGAGAGUGAGGAGUGAGAAAGUGAAGACGCUGGGGUCAGUGCUUUGCUGCUGCAACUUGGAAGGAAGAAGGAGCAGGGAGAGACGAGCCAAAGGUUUGUUUCUUUCUGGGAUAUGAA